AACAGAUCGGGUUUCUAAAAGCUAUUUCAACCCCCCUCCCAGUUACUGCCACCCUCUCCCAGGUCUAGAGAGGGGUACCCACGGUGGAGGGAGGUGGGAGGCCGAGACGGCCCCGGGGGUCGGCGGAGACCCAGCGGGAGCAGGGGGAAAUCGGAAGAGCUGGGGGCAUGGAGCGGGCGAGUUUGGAGCGGAAUGAGCCGGGAGCCCUACGUUGUGGAAGGAAGACAACAGUAUAGGACCAUCAGCAGGACCGGACAGAGAGGGGCACACCAGGCUGGCCUUGAACUCAGAAAUCCGCCUGCCUCUGACUCCCGAGUGCUGAGAUUAAAGGUGUGCACCACCACACCCGACAAGGAAGCCUGUUUUAAGAAGUGAUUCCAUGGAGGAGUUCUGCGGCGGCUCAGGGCUUGACUAAACAGUGGACCUCAGACCCGAGGGUGAAGGAUGAGGAGGAUGGAAGAAAAUGGGAGUGGCGCUUGCUGCAAAGGGUCUCGAAGGGUCUCAGCACCUGCGAACUGGCUCCAAUCCAAACUCCACUAUUCAUGGUCAAGUUCACAUAGGGCUUGGGGUUCUAACAAGAUGUGACUAAACUUACGUUUUCUAUCUUAUUGAUUGUUGUUGAUGCACGUCUGGUGGUACAUGCUUGAAGAACACAGACACCCUGAGAAGAAAGACAUAGCUCCCCAGAUUCCAGCACGCACUUCUCUGUGAGCUACCACUGUAGCUGAAGAUACAGGGCUCAGGAGGAACACUUGGCCUUCGCUCUGAACUUCAGGCCCACGUAACCAUCAGCCGACAUGACACUGCAAAGGCACCUUAGCUCUGCUGUCCCAGAUGGCCAAGCCAACCUUAUUCCAGAAGCUACUUCUCCUGAUGUAAGAACCAGACACAAAGGACAACCUCUGCCUCACCCUCCUUCACACAACACUGAGUCUGUCAUCUUUGAAGCAUUUCUCAAGCCAUGUUUAUUCCCCUGGCCUACGUGGAACACAGCCAGGGUACGGAACACAACCUCAGCACCGGUCUGCUUUCCUCUCCCCAUUUCUGGUCUUUCUCAGAUGCCCAGAGCUCCUCUGUCCCAAUGACUGCUUAUCAAAGAUCUCACUGUGUCCCCACCCAAGGGGUCUUUGGCCACCCUGUGAAGUCCUAGUGGCCUGGAGUUUGCCCCCUUUCCCAGACACCUUAGGGUUCCUGCUGCAGCUCCAGAACUGGGGGAGCAGGGUUGGGGGUGAGUGUGUGUGUGUGUGUGUGUGUGUGUGUGUGUGUGUGUGUUGACUCACCCUGCAGUAUUCUCUCCAUCUGCACAGGUCCCCAGUCUCUGAGACUGAAUCACCCCUCUUUCACUAUGCCUCUGCACAGCUGCCCUUGUGCUCCCUCUCCUUGCCCCGCCUCUUUUUAAGACAGUAUUAUGCAGCCCUGGCUGUCCUGGAACUUAUGUAAACCAGCCUGGCCUUGAACUUGCAGAGAUCCACCUGCCUUUGCCUCUGCCCCUGCCCCUGCCCCUGCCCCUGCCCCUGCCCCUGCCCCUGCCUUUCUGCCUCUGCCUCUGCCUCUCUGCCUUUCUGCCUCUGCCUCUCUGCCUCUGCCUCUCUGCCUCUGCCUCUCAAGUGUCAGGGAUUAAUGCCUGCCACCUCCCCAGUCCCACCCCUCUCCAUCUACCAUGUGGGUUCCACGGGGCAAACCCAAGUCAUCAGGCUUGUUGGCCAGUGCCUUUAUCCACUGAGCCAAGCCGCUUGGUGUGUCUUUGAUGGUGAUUAUUUACAGGAGCUAUUCAGCAAGGUUAAAUGCUGGCAACCCAAUGAGGGGGUCUCUUGAUCCAAAACUGAGAAGUUGAGGCACUAUUUCAGAAUGACCAAAGACAGUAGAAGAAUCUAGAUAUGUCGAUGAUGAGAACAAUGAUAACUCCAAAAGCUGAGGGAAAUUAACUCAAAAUCUUCCAGCUUCCUUUUCCUUACCUAGUUUGGCGGACUCCAACUCUUGGGAUAGCUUUUUUUCUGGCCCCAAACUCACCUGAUUCGUCUGUCCACUGCCACACUGAAGAAUGAACAGCUGUCUCAGAGAGCUUGGCUCCAGAGCUCUGCAAAAAGAGGACACCUUGCCUUGAGCUGUGUUUCCAGAAUGUAUUGCAGCCCCCAGAGUCAUGUACUGUGACCAGGUGAGGACAUGCAUCUUCUGUUCUCCUGCACCCAGGGCCCCAGCAACCAAGGAUCUGGGGACAUGGCGGGUGUUUGGCAGGUUCGCACUCUGAAAAUAUUUGAUGAGACUCAGUAUAUGCUAAAUAAACACUGGAUCAAGU
rnacentral:lncRNA from 1 species